GGUCCGGUAGUUCAGUUGGUUAGAACGCCUGCCUGUCACGCAGGAGGUCGUGGGUUCGAGUCCCAUCCGGAUCG
rnacentral:tRNA from 1 species